GUGGGGAAUUUUGGACAAUGGGGGCAACCCUGAUCCAGCCAUCCCGCGUGUGCGAUGAAGGCCUUUUGGUUGUAAAGCACUUUAAGUGGGGAGGAGGCUUACCUGGUUAAUACCUGGGCUAAGUGGACGUUACCCACAGAAUAAGCACCGGCUAACUCUGUGCCAGCAGCCGCGGUAAUACAGAGGGUGCGAGCGUUAAUCGGAUUUACUGGGCGUAAAGCGCGCGUAGGUGGCCAAUUAAGUCAAAUGUGAAAUCCCCGAGCUUAACUUGGGAAUUGCAUUCGAUACUGGUUGGCUAGAGUAUGGGAGAGGAUGGUAGAAUUCCAGGUGUAGCGGUGAAAUGCGUAGAGAUCUGGAGGAAUACCGAUGGCGAAGGCAGCCAUCUGGCCUAAUACUGACACUGAGGUGCGAAAGCAUGGGGAGCAAACAGGAUUAGAAACCCCUGUAGUCC
rnacentral:rRNA from 1 species